GCCAGAGUGGUGUAGUGGUUUGAACAUUGGACUGUGACUCUGAAGAACAGGGUUUGAAUCACUGCUCUGCCA
rnacentral:tRNA from 1 species